GUCUAUGGUCAUGCCACACUGAACACGCCCAAUCCCGUCUGAUCUUGGAAGCUAAGCAGGGUCGGGUCUGGUUAGUUCUUGGAUGGGAGGCCACCUAGGAAGACUGGGUGGUGUAGGCA
rnacentral:rRNA from 1 species